GACGAACGCUGGCGGCGUGCUUAACACAUGCAAGUCGAACGGAAAGGCCCUGCUUUUGUGGGGUUCUCGAGUGGCGAACGGGUGAGUAACACGUGAGUAACCUGCCCUUGACUUUGGGAUAACUUCAGGAAACUGGGGCUAAUACCGGAUAGGAGCUCCUGCUGCAUGGUGGGGGUUGGAAAGUUUCGGCGGUUGGGCAUGGACUCGCGGCUUAUCAGCUUGUUGGUGGGGUAGUGGCUUACCAAGGCUUUGACGGGUAGCCGGCCUGAGAGGGUGACCGGCCCAUUUGGGGUCGGGAUAGGGCCGAACCCACUCGGGGGGGCAGGGGGGGGGAAUUUUCAAAAAGGGGGGGGCGCCUGACCGAGCACCGCCGGGUGGGGGAGGGGGGCCUUGGGGUUGUAACCCGCUUGCCCUUGGACCAAAGCGUGGUUGACGGUAUUGGGUAAAGAAGCACGGGCUAAUUAGUG
rnacentral:rRNA from 1 species